UGCAAUGUGAGCACACUGCCAGUGGGGCACGCUCACAUGCAGGAACAUGCGCUAAAAGCACACGCAGCCUGCCCGGCGAUGUUAACAAAACACAGAGAAGCUCUGAUUGUAACACACACAGAGGGAGAGAGACUUCAUUCUCUGCUCAGGUAGACAUUACUCCUCUAUAUCUUUACAUAGCAAAUACA